AUCAAUUCAGUAUAAACCAAAUGUAUUCCUCGCGAGACUAACUACAAAAAAGAAGAAAAUGGAGAAUCGAAAGUAUAUAUUUCAGGGGAGGGGGAAACAUGAUAGGUCAGAGGCAUUAGAUGUUCGAUCUAUUGCUCAUUCGAGCUAUGACAUCAGAGGCAUUAGCGACAUAUUCAUCUAUGGUUGUUUUGAGAUCAGCAUAGUCUUGAUGAACUGCCACAUUUUCUUCAUGAGCCUAGGAAUUUAAAAAAGAGGUAUUUUAGUAAUUUGGAUAAGGGGUAUUUUGAUAAUUUGGGUGAGGAUAUUUUUGAAAUUUGGAAGCAGGGGUAUAUUUUGGCUUUAAGGGUAUUAGGUGGGUUAAACUAUGGAUUUUAGGGAUUUGGGGGUUGAGAUUCGGAUUCUUUGGAUUCUCUAGGUUUCCGCAGAGUCGGUUUGACUGGUGUUCGAGAGCGAGUUGGGGGGUUCAGAUAGAGGACGGAACAAAAGUCGGGUGUUGACACCAGCUGUUAUUAUCCAUUUCUGGUCGUUGAAAUUUCCUUGGCAAGAUUUGGUUUUUCUCCCUCACAGAUGCUCGUAAGGUCUAGUCUUUUUCUCUUCUCGUUCUGCAGAGGGAAAGAGAAACAUAGAUAGAGAACAAGACCUAAUGAUAUUUUACAAAGAUCUUCAAUUUCAUUAGCAGAUCGAGUUGAGGAAUGAAAAGGAGAUAGGGAAGAAAGGAAACUGGUUUGUUGCAAUGAAGAAAGCUUUCAGCCCAGAAUCCAAGGAGAAGAAAGAUGAAGAAAGCAGUAAAUCUAAGAAGAAAUGGUUUGGGAAAGAGAAACACCUACAUCCCUCUACUUCCUCAUUUUAAAGUUGAAUCUGCUUACACAGUGCCUCCGUUUCCCUAAAAUUAUCCUCCUCCCGAGGAAGUGCAACUCAUCAAAGCGAAAAAUGAAUAGAGCAAGUAUGCAUAUUCUAUUGUGAUUGCCACUGCUAUGGCUGCUGAGGCCGCAACAAUAGGUCGUGUCGGCAUGGCCCGUGAACCUUCUGGUGCCACUCACCGUUUGACCUUCGACUUGGUGAAGUCGUAAUUUCACUCUGACUAUGACGGCACUAACAACUACUACAACUACUGUGCUGAUAACGAUGCGUUCCUUGAGUGUCACCCCUCUGAGAUAUUUGUGAAGGACCAACAAAUCAAGCAGAUUUUGCUCCCAGGGCAGAGUAAGAAUGGUGUUUAUGAGUUUCGAUUAACUUCUCUUCAGUCACUUCGUCCAGAGAAUAAGCCUCUCACACAUGGCACCUUCGUUGGUGAAUGUGUUAAGUGCUGAUGUAUGGCAUCGCAGAUAAGGCCAUCCUUUCAUCAGAUUACCUCUUAUGUUCUUCAUUCACAUCACCUACUUACGGUUUCAUCUUCUUUAUUAUUCUGUGAUUCUUGUCAAUUAAGUCAUCAGUUACUAUUUACUAUUUGUAUUAAGAGGAGCUCCUUGUGAUGUUUGGGGACCAGCUCCUAGGGCCUGUACUAAUGGAUUUCGGUUUUACAUUUCUUUUAUUGAUGA